UGUGUCACACAUAGGGCAAUUGUGCAGAUCAAGGGGAUAUUGGCCUUUCACUUUCUGCCAUGACAACGACCCCCACCUCCUCUCAGGUCAUUAGCUCACUUGUUUAGGCGCUGACCGCAAUGACUGGGCUCAAUGUUGUCAAAUGUGCGUUAAGAUGAAGACCUUCAGACCUUCUCUUCCGGACGGCGUCACACUUAUGCCCUGCAAAACAGUCCCUCUCCAAGUGUCACCAUAGCUGUCCACUGCAUCCAAGAACUUCGGUGGAGGACUGGCGUCACCAAGUAAACAAACUGUGACUGAAACAGAUGUCAUGCCGACAAAACAGGAACAGGAACAAAACCGAACAUUGCUACCCAUGCGUGCCUGGAGAGCCUCAAGUAGAACCUUAAGUACAAUCUGUGAUGUGAUUUUAUUUUAUAUUUAUUUAUUUUUACUGUGUUUCAUUUUACUGCUAUGGUUAUGUUGUUUGAUCAUCCCGCACCUACUGUUGAUAAGUCGCGUUAAAACGAGGACAGGAAAAUAUAGUGUGCUCAUGUUGUCACGAAUGUGUCCAUUAUCAGCACUGCUGAAGAAAAUAAACGGCGUCCCUGGAGAAGUCUUGUACCUGAUCCAGCAUCUGGAGGCUGACCGUCAGCGUGCGGAGGAAGCCCUCCUCACAGAGAGAAGAAGAAAGUGGAGAACAAACUCUUUCCCAGAUGUUCAUGUAAUGCACACAGAAUGACAAACAACAACUUGUCUGAUUCUUUUAUUUUGUUGAACAGUCUCAAUUAAGCUGCUGUUCAUGUGAUGAGGCAUUCAGGCACACUAGUAACUGUGAGUGUUAGGCAUACAGUAGGCUGUCAGACAUCAACCAAUCAGAGGAUGGAAAAAUACUGACAUUGCUGUAUGCCUGCUAGCUGGCCUUGUGAGGUGAAUCUGAAAUCACAUUGGUGAAAGAAACAGCCCCGUUGGUAAUUGUUAAACACGUUGACAUAGCAACACAUAGAAGCUGAACUCUGAUUGGACAAAAAAUGAGCAUGCACAUACACUAUUGGAAGCAGUGCAGCAAAGAAACAUGCCAUGAAAUGAAGAUAACAGCUGUGGGAUUAUUGGGAAUAAAUUCAUACAAUUCCAUGGAACAAAAACUAGCAUUUAAUAUGUAAAUGUAGGUCAGUGCUUCUGAUCAUGUUUAGGCCAGCAGAGAAGGCUUUGCUAGUCCUGACAGCACACCAUAGUGUAUACAAUGAGUGGAACUUCUCAAUUACAACCACCCUGGUGCAGUAUCUCAGCAAUGCUACUACUAGUGAUGCAAUCCUGUUGCCUAGAACAGAAGGCCUGCAUUAUAAGCAUCUCUGAACUUGAGUGUCAUUUAAAAGCACAAAAAGCGGAGAUAAUGUUCAAGAGAGGACACUGUUCAAUCCAAAAAUGUCUUACCUCAAUGUACUGUAUUAUAUACAAGUGCAAUGUACUCCAAGACACAAAGUGGUCUUAUAUUGCUUGAGAAGCGGUUAAAGAAGCUGGAGCAGGACACCGGGGUGAAUAAUAAUUCAACAAUGCACUGUUGGAUAUGAGGAAAAUAAGCUAAGAAGCCACUUGUAGGCAUAUUCAACCCAAAAUAUUUACCUUGGACUUAGUCACAAAUGGCUAACUAUUCAGCUAUCUCCGUUUGAAGAUAUGUGCUUAUAGAUGAUGCUUGUUUUCACAUGCAGUAUACAGUACAUUGACAAAUAGUGCUUUGGCAUUCCCAUCGCUCUGUUCCCUGUGCUUUUAAUUCACUUCAAAACAAUUUGUCACCUCAGAGAAGAGUCAAAGCAGUUGGAAACGCUUGAGAAAAACCAAUGGGCUGAAAUCAAGGAUGCCGAAAAGAUGGUUGCAGAAACGGAGGGAACGUGAGCCUCUAUAACAAAGCACAUCCCUCAAAUGAGGGAGCAGGAGACAACAGAAAGAGUCAGAUAACAUGUUGUACACAAGCAGCAAACUUAGAAUUAUGUGGAAGAUAUAUAACAUAUAUUUGAUUUUUGAAAAUGUUCUUUAUUUCAAAUUGCAAGGUAAAAAUGUAAAGUUCAGAAUGAUUUGCAAACCAGAUCUUAAAAGAGAAUGUGAUUGCCUUUUGUAUUGUGUCGGCGGUCAUUGAGGUAACAUGACAACACAUAAAGAGUGGACUGUAUUCCUUUCAUUCACCUAAAGUGCCUACAGGUGACAUAUCGUGUGCAAUAUCCAAAGAAACUUGAUCGAGAAGCUGAAAAUCAGAAAAUCAGUUGUAGUCAAAACGUGUUUAAGUUACGCUAAAGAAAACCCAGAGGUUGAAAGCAAGGUUGAAGCAUACAAGCAUCAAAUAUCUCAGAGGAGCAUGAGACACUUCUAUAGGUAUCUGUGGCGCCCUGGACAAUAUUGGGGACAAGUAUUGUUAAAAGAAUUGUUAUAACAGUUUGUUCCAUUUUCUUAGCCCCCGCCCCACAUGUUUUUUUCAUGUUCAUGUCUCCAUGAAUUCUCAGCAAAGGAAGACCCAUCAGUUGCAGUACUCGUUUUCGUCACACGGAAAGCGGGCACUUGAGACCGCGCUUCUGGGCGCCACACACAGGAGGCAACAUGUCUCGACUUCAUUUAUUUUCAAUGGAAACUGCGCGAUAGGGCGAUUAGCGCGUGUCACUGUCCAGCCAAGCGAACCGCGAAAUUUGUGCGUGUGAAAAUUUGUGCUCGUGCGUGUCAUGAGACACGUGUCUUGUGACGCGAUCCCAGAAAGUUGAAAACUGUUCAACUUUUCAUCGCUGUCGCCCAGACGAGGACCAAUAAGCGGGAGUUUCAUUGAUCGAUCAAUGAGCAGACACGAUGCUAAUCAGUACGCUAUACUUGCCCUGUCAGAUUUCCCAGAGCUAUUUGACAUUUCUAAAGAUAUAAAAAAAAUAGAAAAAAAUAUAUUUAAAAAAUGCAGCGUCUUGGGACCUCGUUGGCGCCAGAGUAAACAUAUGUAGUAAGUUUACAUUCAUUUACCGGGACAUUUAUGUAAGUUUAUCUUCAAUACUAGCAAGAUGUGGUAAUAGCAAGAGUCCUCGAUCAACACUGUCCGCUUUUCCUCCUCUGAACUACUUUGAUACCCCAAAAUUCCCUCCACAUUUGAGAGACAAUCAAACCGUGGGAGACUCGUACAAUUCGCUCACUUGUGUAGCUGUUCACAAUCCCUUGUCGCCUCCCGUUUGCAUGGUUUUGUACGUGAUGGUGAUGAAUUUCGCCAAUUGUGGUCAUUUGUCGCCUCCUGUGUGUGGCGGCCAUUACUGUAGGAGUAACUAUGCCAGUAGCAGCACGUAUAUGAUGUAAUCAACAGUGUCACUCAUUACAAACACAUUGUUUAUUAUUUGACGUUUCAGGUGGGUUUGUGUAUGAAUAAUGCACUUGUUAUUAUCUGUAUUUGUAUAUUAGCAAUGGUGCUGCAUUCUGUUACAGUUAUCUGUCCAAUAUUGACUCUUACACUGUAGUUAACUGGCAUUAGCAUGCACGGCUAAUGUUGGAUAAGGUCCCGUUCUCAUGAAACUGUUCCAUUCACACAUGUACUGUAUAUUAGCAUUUCAGUGCUCAGUGAUGUUUAGCGUUUGUAAAAGUUCUUUAACUGGCAUUAGCAUGCACGGCUAAUGUUGGAUAAGGUCAUGAGACUGUUCCAUUCACACAUGUACUGUAUAUUAGCAUUUCAGUGCUCAGUGAUGUUUAGCGUUUGUCAAAGUUCUUUUAUUGAUUGUCA